CCGCUGCCAAUUAUUCAAGAUACACAUAGUUUGCGUUUGUUGUUUACAGGUCAGUUUUUAACCAUUUGACUUGUCUUUUAUACAGUAUAGUAGUUCGCAAAAAAUAAACUUUUGAUAAAGCAUAUAGGGGUAUAUAGUAGACCAUUCUAGACUAGGGAUGAAAAUGGAGUGGAAACUUUCCGCUUUUCCGGAGGAAAAAUGAAAAUGGAGAGGAAAUAUGAAAGCGGAAAUGGAAAUUUGCAAAACGGAAAUGGAAAUGGAAUUUUUAAUGCAAAAACGGAAACAAAAAUGGAAGAGUGUUUUUCGGUGGAACAUAUGUGGAAAUGGAACUUUUCGUUUCCAUGAAUAUGGAAUUUCCCAUUUUUACUAUAGGCCUACGGCUGUUUUGUAGCCCAACCAUCAAAUAACACCUAAUGAGACAAUGAGCAUAAUGGAUCAUUUAAGGCCCAACUUAUACUACCAUAUAUGUACUCAGCUAGACCCUAUACACAAUUGUCAUGUACUAAUACAAUACUAGGAUAUGUUGCUAACAUAAUCCAAUUAUUUUGUAGACAUGUUAGCAAUUCAUUAAUUCUUAUUGUCCGUAUUACUCUAUGAUUCAAGGGGUUUUAAAGUUCUGGUCAACGCCCACUUCUAUUUCUGUAUCCGCUUUGUAUAUCUAUUUCUGUAUCCGCUUUGUAUUCGCUUCGUGUCUGUUUUCGGUAGUAUCUGUUUCCGUAUUCAUUUUUGGGGUUUUUGUAUUUGUUUCCACUUCUGUAAAACAAUAUGAAAACAAAUGUGAUAGCACUCAGUUCCGUCCGUUUCCGCUCCAUUUUCAUCCCUAUUCUAGACCAUAUCUUGAAUACAUAGUUUAUAAUAUUUUUUGGUUUUUAAUAUAUGAGAGUUCCCAUCUUAGUUAGUGGAACCGCUUUGCUUCACAGUAUACAAUGCUUUGCAUGUCAGUAUAAUUCAUAAGUGUUUUUUUGUUUUCAGGUGUUGAUAAUACGGUGAGUGGUUGAAGGGGAACUGGGGAAGCAUGAGGAGAAGGGCAGUACAGAGGGUGGAAUGAGCAUGUGACUUGUAUGGAAUGAACAAAUUUUCUUUUAAAUGAUUUGAGUGUAUGCUGAUACGUGCAAGUCAAUCAUAUGAAUUCCCAACUAGCUUGUGUGUGUUCAAUAUUUUGUUGUGCAUUGAUAAAAUGUUUUCAGUGCCUGAGUGCGCAAGUUGAAUUUUGAAACAGAUGAGAGAACCACCAUGCAUAAUGGAAUUUGCCCUUCAGGAAGGUUCGGGUUUGCUGUUGUGAUUAAAAGUAUAGGAGAUUUAUAUACCUAUAAUAGAACAGUUCCUCAAGCUAAAGGCUUCUGUAACAUCUGAACUCUGUUUGUGCGAUUUUUUUACCAGCAUUGUAAAAGGCCAUGUUGCACCGGUGUAUUGGGUUUCAAUUCAGGGAGGUGACAUCUUAGUAAAUUGUGGGUUUGAUCUCCAAGUGUGCUUGAACAUAAUCAUGCCAAGGAAGAUAUUGUAUCGCAUCUUUGCGGUAAAGUUGUCCUUGAUGAACACUUCAUUCCUGAGGAGAAUAUCUCCAGAAGGAGUAGUAUCAGAAAGGAGUGUACCAGCACAGAUGUAGCGAGAGCUCCUGAGUUUGCUAAAGGAAGAGCAAAAAGUCUAGAGCCUCCUACUUCCUCCAAUCAAACAAAAUCUUUGGCUAAGAAGUCUUGGAAGAAAAGGAAAAGAAAGUUUGUAAGAGUAGCUAUGCACCCCUACACUCCAAAGUACCCUAAUGAUGAGGACGAAGAGGAAGAGGAGGUUCCUGCUACUAACCCACCCCCUUUCAAGCAAAUAAAGCUAAUGAAGGGUGCCAUGCCAAGCAAG
rnacentral:lncRNA from 1 species